GACGAACGCUGGCGGCGUGCCUAAUACAUGCAAGUAGAACGCUGAAGAGAGGAGCUUACUCUUCUUGGAUGAGUUGCGAACGGGUGAGUAACGCGUAGGUAACCUGCCUUGUAGCGGGGGAUAACUAUUGGAAACGAUAGCUAAUACCGCAUAACAAUGGAUGACACAUGUCAUUUAUUUGAAAGGGGCAAUUGCUCCACUACAAGAUGGACCUGCGUUGUAUUAGCUAGUAGGUGAGGUAAUGGCUCACCUAGGCGACGAUACAUAGCCGACCUGAGAGGGUGAUCGGCCACACUGGGACUGGGACACGGCCCAGACUCCUACGGGAGGCAGCAGUAGGGAAUCUUCGGCAAUGGGGGCAACCCUGACCGAGCAACGCCGCGUGAGGGAAGAAGGUUUUCGGAUCGUAAAGCUCUGUUGUAAGUCAAGAACGGGUGUGAGAGUGGAAAGUUCACACUGUGACGGUAGCUUACCAGAAAGGGACGGCUAACUACGUG
rnacentral:rRNA from 1 species